rnacentral:rRNA from 1 species
AUUGAACGCUGGCGGCAUGCUUUACACAUGCAAGUCGAACGGCAGCGCGGGCUUCGGCCUGGCGGCGAGUGGCGAACGGGUGAGUAAUGCAUCGGAACGUGCCCAGUAGUGGGGGAUAGCCCGGCGAAAGCCGGAUUAAUACCGCAUACGACCUGAGGGUGAAAGCGGGGGACCGAAAGGCCUCGCGCUAUUGGAGCGGCCGAUGUCGGAUUAGCUAGUUGGUGGGGUAAAGGCUUACCAAGGCGACGAUCCGUAGCUGGUCUGAGAGGACGACCAGCCACACGGGGAUUGAGACCCGCCCCAGCCCCCUGGGGGAGCGAGGGGGGGGGAUUUUGGGAAAAUGGGGGCACCCCUGACCCCGCCAUGCGGGGGGGGGAAAGAAGGCUUUGGGUUUUAAACCCGUUUUUGUUGGGGAAGAAAUCUUCUGGACUAAUACCCCGGGGGGAUGAGGGACCCGGAAAAAAAAGCCCCGGCAAACUACGUC